CCUACGGGUGGCAGCAGUGGGGAAUAUUGCACAAUGGGCGCAAGCCUGAUGCAGCCAUGCCGCGUGUGUGAAGAAGGCCUUCGGGUUGUAAAGCACUUUCAGCGGGGAGGAAGGCGGUGAGGUUAAUAACCUCAUCGAUUGACGUUACCCGCAGAAGAAGCACCGGCUAACUCCGUGCCAGCAGCCGCGGUAAUACGGAGGGUGCAAGCGUUAAUCGGAAUUACUGGGCGUAAAGCGCACGCAGGCGGUCUGUCAAGUCGGAUGUGAAAUCCCCGGGCUCAACCUGGGAACUGCAUUCGAAACUGGCAGGCUAGAGUCUUGUAGAGGGGGGUAGAAUUCCAGGUGUAGCGGUGAAAUGCGUAGAGAUCUGGAGGAAUACCGGUGGCGAAGGCGGCCCCCUGGACAAAGACUGACGCUCAGGUGCGUAAGCGUGGGGAGCAAACAGGAUUAGAUACCCUUGUAGUC
rnacentral:rRNA from 1 species